rnacentral:rRNA from 1 species
UGCCUCAGUAACGGCGAGUGAAGCGGCAAAAGCUCAAAUUUGAAAUCUCCGCAAGGCGAGUUGUAAUUUGAAGAAGGCGACUUUGGAAUGGGCCCUUGUCUAUGUUCCUUGGAACAGGACGUCACAGAGGGUGAGAAUCCCGUGCGAUGGGGUGUCCCGUUCCGUGUAAAGUGCUUUCGACGAGUCGAGUUGUUUGGGAAUGCAGCUCUAAGUGGGUGGUAAAUUCCAUCUAAAGCUAAAUAUUGGCGAGAGACCGAUAGCGAACAAGUACAGUGAUGGAAAGAUGAAAAGCACUUUGAAAAGAGAGUGAAAAAGUACGUGAAAUUGUUGAAAGGGAAGGGCUUGAGAUCAGACUUGGUGACUCGUCACUGGGCCAGCAUCGGUUUCGGUGGCAGGACAAGACCGUGGGAACGUGGCUCUGCUUCGGCGGAGUGUUAUAGCCCGCGGAGAUACUGCCUACCGAGACCGAGGACUGCGGCAACUAGGAUGCUGGCAUAAUGAUCUUAAGCCGCCCGUCUUGAACCACGGACCA